rnacentral:rRNA from 1 species
AUUGAACGCUGGCGGCAGGCCUAACACAUGCAAGUCGAACGAGUGGCGGACGGGUGAGUAAUGUCUGGGAAACUGCCUGAUGGAGGGGGAUAACUACUGGAAACGGUAGCUAAUACCGCAUACCAUCAGAUGUGCCCAGAUGGGAUUAGCUAGUUGGUGGGGUAACGGCUCACCAAGGCGACGGUCCCUAGCUGGUCUGAGAGGAUGACCAGCCCCCCUGGAACGGGGACACGGUCCGGAGGCCUCCGGGGGGCAGCGUGGGGGAAUAGUGGCCAAUGGGCGCAGGCCUGAUGCAGCCAUGCCGCGUGUAUGAAGAGGGCCUUCGGGUUGUAAAGUACUUUGAGCGGGGAGGCGUUACCCGCAGAAGAAGCACCGGCUAACUCCGUGCCAGCAGCCGCGGUAAUAC